rnacentral:tRNA from 1 species
UAACUCAAUGAUAGAGUGUUUGCCUAUCAUGCACAAGUCCUGGGUUCAAUUCCUAG